rnacentral:misc_RNA from 1 species
GAUCAUUAUCUAUAACCGGGUGUGGCUGCGGCCUCCGGGGGCGUGGGCGUCGAAACGAUGCCCUCUCUUCCGGGUGGUAGAGGUAAAACUCUCACGCGCCACAUGUCUGAAUCCUUUUUUUACGAGCACCUUUCGUUCUCCUUCGGUGGGGUGACCUGCCGUUGGAACCUAUCAAAACUCUUUUUGCAUCUAGCAUUACCUGUUCUGAUACAAACAAUCGUUACAACUUUCAACAAUGGAUCUCUUGGCUCUGGCAUCGAUGAAGAACGCAGCGAAAUGCGAUAAGUAGUGUGAAUUGCAGAAUUCAGUGAAUCAUCGAAUCUUUGAACGCACAUUGCGCCCCUUGGUAUUCCAUGGGGCAUGCCUGUUCGAGCGUCAUCUACACCCUCAAGCUCUGCUUGGUGUUGGGCGUCUGUCCCGCCUACGUGCGCGGACUCGCCCCAAAUUCAUUGGCAGCGGUCCUUGCCUCCUCUCGCGCAGCACAUUGCGCUUCUCGAGGUGCGCGGCCCGCGUCCACGAAGCAACAUUACCGUCUUUGACCUCGGAUCAGGUAGGGAUACCCGCUGAACUUAAGCAUAUCAAUAAGCGGAGGAAAAGAAACCAACAGGGAUUGCCCUAGUAACGGCGAGUGAAGCGGCAACAGCUCAAAUUUGAAAUCUGGCUCUCUUUGAGGGUCCGAGUUGUAAUUUGCAGAGGAUGCUUUGGCAUCGGCGGCGGUCUAAGUUCCUUGGAACAGGACAUCGCAGAGGGUGAGAAUCCCGUACGUGGGCGCCUGCCUUUGCCGUGUAAAGCUCCUUCGACGAGUCGAGUUGUUUGGGAAUGCAGCUCUAAAUGGGAGGUAAAUUUCUUCUAAAGCUAAAUACCGGCCAGAGACCGAUAGCGCACAAGUAGAGUGAUCGAAAGAUGAAAAGUACUUUGGAAAGAGAGUCAAAAAGCACGUGAAAUUGUUGAAAGGGAAGCGCUUGCAGCCAGACUUGCCCGCAGUUGCUCACCUAGGCUUUGGCCUGGGGCACUCUUCUGCGGGCAGGCCAGCAUCAGUUUGGGCGGUUGGAUAAAGGCCUCUGUCACGUAUCUCCCUUCGGGGUGACCUUAUAGGGGAGGCGCAAUGCAACCAGCCCGGACUGAGGUCCGCG